UACGUAGGGGGCGAGCGUUGUCCGGAUUUACUGGGCGUAAAGAGCGUGUAGGCGGCCAAACAGGUCCGUUGUGAAAACUGGAGGCUUAACCUCCAGACGUCGACGGAAACCGUGUGGCUAGAGUCCGGAAGAGGAGAGUGGAAUUCCUGGUGUAGCGGUGAAAUGCGCAGAUAUCAGGAAGAACACCAAUGGCGAAGGCAGCUCUCUGGGACGGUACUGACGCUGAGACGCGAAAGCGUGGGGAGCGAACAGG
rnacentral:rRNA from 1 species